rnacentral:ncRNA from 2 species
GGCAAUGACAUGGGGUGCCUCGUGAGUAUGAAGCGAGGCUGAGACAACACCCAUCGAACCUGAUCUGGGCCAUACUAGCGAAGGGAUCGUCAUGGUUGACUUCG